rnacentral:tRNA from 1 species
GGAGAGAUAACUCAGUGGUUAAGAGCACUGACUGCUCUUCCAGAGGUCCUGAGUUCAAUUUUCAGCAACUACA